UACAGAGGUCUCAAGCGUUGUUCGGAUUCAUUGGGCGUAAAGAGCGUGUAGGCGGCUUGGUAAGUCCGCUGUGAAAGUCCAGGGCUCAACCCUGGAAUGCCGGUGGAAACUGUCAAGCUUGAGUCCGGAAGAGGCGAGUGGAAUUCCUGGUGUAGCGGUGAAAUGCGCAGAUAUCAGGAGGAACACCAAUGGCGAAGGCAGCUCGCUGGGACGGUACUGACGCUGAGACGCGAAAGCGUGGGGAGCAAACAGG
rnacentral:rRNA from 1 species